rfam:Cicer arietinum chromosome Ca1, whole genome shotgun sequence.
GAAUGGAGUGAUGAUUAUUUGUUUCCCUAUUGGUUUGACUGCCGCAAUGAUGGCAUAUUGUAUUAGCUCUAUCUGACCAUUC